rnacentral:lncRNA from 1 species
CUGAUUUUGAAAGUAAUUAAAGCUCUGGAAUAUAAGAAUUCUUAAGGCAAAAUGGUUUUCUCCUACGGAAAUCCUAGUUCAUUUUGCACAGGACGCUUCUUCCUCUCUGUAUUAGCAGGAACAAGCAAUCUUGCAAGGCAGAUCUAGAGAUUUGCUCACAAAAGUAGUACCUGGGAGGACUGCUGAGCAUAGACAUAGACCUGGAGCUACGCUAAGUGAACACUCAGGCAGUGUCAGUCACUGCAUGGGUCCAGCAUCACCUUUAGGUACAAGAAGAACCGUGUUGACGACAGUCAACUGUGAGAAUAAGCUCCUUAGCAUGCUCCAAAAAGUGCAAGCAGAUCUGUAGGAAUCCUGAAAAUGCCACCCCUGAACUCCAGAACAGGCUGGCAGAAUUGCACAGGUUGGACAGGACCUCCAACUCAACCAGUGCAGGUUCCUGCUCAAAGCAAGACCAGCUCCCUGCCCCAGCUGGUAAAAUAGGUUUGAUACAAUUGUAGUUGGAAGGUGCGUGAGGAGGGGAAGAGCUACAGUGUCUGCCUUACCAGUUGAUGUAAAGAAACUUUACUUACUACUACAUACCUCCCACUGCCAUAGAGACUGAUAGGUAGGUCAGACCAUGAAUUGGUGUUGGAGAGCUGGCAUUAGGACAUUUUUCAGGUGGGACAUUUUUUAGAUAUCCUUGUUACUCAUAUUUAAAAUCAUGUUCUGGACCUCACCAAUCCACAGGUACUGGGGGAGCAAAACAGUCUUAAAUUAAUGCUGCCAAUUUUUAUGCUUCAAUGUGCUUCUCUUAAAUAUUCAAGUCAAAUGCUGCUCUUACGUACGGUAGGGAAUCAACAUAAAGAAAGGGAUUGAAAAGGUGUAGAAAAUUAUCAUAAAAUCAUGCAAUAUCUCACAUUGGAAGGGACCAAUAAGGAUCACUUGAGUUCAACUCCCUGAUCCUUGCAGGACAACCUACCACAAAGCCAUAGCACUAAGAGUAUCGUCCAGAUGCUCCCUGAAGUAUUAACCCAUGGAAAAUAUUUUGAAGUGUUUCUUUCUGGAAAGUGGUAUAUGCUUGGGAUUUUUUAUAAGGAAGGAAACAGUGAUAAAGCUGAGGAAAAAAAACAAUGACUCAUCAUAGAGAUAAUAUAAAGAACAGGCAUUUUUUCCAGUUAUUUUUAUAACUAUAUACCGUUAUCCAGGAAGUAUGGCUGGAUCGGUUAUUUUUUCUUACACAAGCCAUUAUUUAAACAAUAGGCUAAUGAUGCAUGUUGAUUAUUUCCAAUGAUUACUGAGGCUCAGUUAACAAGAAGCUGUUAAGGGAUAGUACAAAAGGUUGAUGAGU